rnacentral:lncRNA from 1 species
GAAAACAAGCUCAAGGAAAAAAAUCUUGGUGGGAUGGUUUUUUGUUGUUGUUAAAACACCACACUGGUGAUGAUGCUUUCUCGGUUUGGGAGAUGUAAAAACAGCAUGGGACUGUAGUCUAAUUGUAUAUGUCUAAUUACAAAUGUUUACUAGAUUUAGAUGAAUUAACAUCUAGGGUAGUUUUAUCAUUCUGCCAACUUCUCAAAAUGUCAGUGUGUUAACUUUUUCUUUUCUGUAUUUUGUCACCCUCAUGUCUAAAUUGAUAGGAAGAAGAUGUUUAGGAAUUUGCCAUCUUAGCUUGACUUCUCAGUUUGUCCUGUCUUCGCUCUGGCUUUUCACGGAGUUUGAUUAAAUUUGAGACGGAUGUUCCACUUUGCUGAAGCCCCCAA